rnacentral:rRNA from 1 species
AACCGUAAUGCCAUUAAUUCUGGUGUUGCGGGGAAACAGGACUGUUACUUUGAAAAAAUUAGAGCGUUUAAAGCAGGCUAGCGCCUGAAUACAUUAGCACGGAAUAAUGAAAUAGGACGUUCGAACCUAUUUUGUUGGUUUCUAGGAUUGACGUAAUGAUUAAUAGGGAUAGUUGGGGGCAUUAGUAUUCAAUUGUCAGAGGUGAAAUUCUUGGAUUUAUUGAAGACUGACUACUGCGAAAGCAUUUGCCAAGGAUGUUUUCAUUAAUCAAGAACGAAAGUUAGGGGAUCGAAGACGAUCAGAUACCGUCGUAGUCUUAACCAUAAACUAUGCCGACUAGGGAUCGGAUGAUGUUAAUUUUUUAAUGACUCAUUCGGCGCCUUACG